GUUGUAGUCUGGAGAAGUGCUUUCCGCGCUGGACCGUGUAUAAGUCUCUUGGAACAGAGCGUCAUAGAGGGUGAGAAUCCCGUCUUUGACACGGACUACCAGUGCUUUGUGAUGCGCUCUCAAAGAGUCGAGUUGUUUGGGAAUGCAGCUCAAAAUGGGUGGUAAAUUCCAUCUAAAGCUAAAUAUUGGCGAGAGACCGAUAGCGAACAAGUACCGUGAGGGAAAGAUGAAAAGCACUUUGGAAAGAGAGUUAAACAGUACGUGAAAUUGCUGAAAGGGAAACGCUUGAAGUCAGUCGCGUUGUAUGGAACUCAGCCUCGCUCUUGCGUGGUGCAUUUUCCUACGACGGGCCAGCAUCGAUUUUGACCGUCGGAUAAGGGUUGAAGGAAUGUGGCACCUUCGGGUGUGUUAUAGCCUUCAGUCGCAUACGGCGGUUGGGAUCGAGGAACGCAGCGCGCCGCAAGGCAGGGGUUCGCCCACUUUCGCGCUUAGGAUGCUGGCAUAAUGGCUUUAAACGACCCGUCUUGAAACACGGACCAAGGAGUCUAACAUACCUGCGAGUGUUUGGGUGGAAAACCCGAGCGCGUAAUGAAAGUGAAAGUUGGGACCUCUGUCGUGGAGGGCACCGACGCCCGGAGCAGACGUUCUCUGACGCAUCCGCGGUUGAGCAUGUAUGUUGGGACCCGAAAGAUGGUGAACUAUGCCUGAAUAGGGUGAAGCCAGAGGAAACUCUGGUG
rnacentral:rRNA from 1 species